ensembl:lncRNA
GCCCAGAGGCAGUAGAGCAGGGCAAUCCAUGGGCACCAACAGAGGCAACGAAGUUCUUCCCAGGCAGCAGCUGCUCCCCGGGGACAGAGCAGCCACGGGGUCCUGUCCAUUGGGCAGUGAGGACGAGGGACAUCAACACCUCUUCUGGAAGGGUGAGCAUUCUGAAGCUGGGCGUCUCCGAUUCCAUCUCCUGUGGAUGGACAAUCAUGGUGACCUGGGGGCAGCCAGAGAAGCCACGGGGUCCUGUCCUUGGGGCAGCGAGGAUGAGAGACAUCAACCUUUUCUGGAUGGGCAAGGAUUCUGAAACUGGGCAUCUUGGAGUCAGUCUUCCAAUGGAUGAUCAUGGUGACCUGGGGGCAGCCAGAGUAGCCAUGGGGACCUGUCCUUGGGGCAGCGAGGACGAGGGACAUCAACACCUCUUCUGUAAGGGCGAGGAUUCUGAAGCUGGGUGUCGGAGUCCAUUUCCCGGUGGUGAUCUGGGGGCAGCCAGAGAAGCCACGGCGUCCUGUCCUUGGGGCAGCGAGCAUGAGGGACAUUCAACACCUGUUUGGAAAGGGCGAGGAUUCUGUAGCUGGCCAUCUCGGAGUCCAUCUUCCUGUGGACGGAUGAUCCUGUUGACCUGGGGGCAGCCAGAGAAGACAUGGGGUCCUGGCUGUGGGGUAGCAAGGACGAGGGACAUUCAACCCCUUUUCUGGAAGGGCGAGGAUUCUGAAACUGGGCAUCUUGGAGUCCACCUUCCUGUGGACGAUCGUGGUGACCUGGGGGCAGCCAGAGAAGCCAUGAUGUCCUGUCAUUGGGGCAGCGAGGACGAAGGACACUAUACGCUUGAUGACCCCAGAGGCAAGGAUUCUGAAGCUGCAAGUCUUGGAGUCUGUCUUCCCGUGGAAGAUCGUGGAGACGUGGGUCACCAGAGACAUAGCUCUGCUGCAGCAUCUGCUGUGUAGACCCUUUGGUGGCCCCAGGACCCUCUUUCACUUCAGAGGUCAGAGGGACAAGCUGACAAGGGGAGAACACGGCCCUGUCAUGCCAUGGCCUGGUCCCUGGUUCCUGUCCCUUUGAGACCCCAGGGCACUUUGGUGAAGAAGCCCACAGACCAGCAGGGAGGUGGCAGGUGCCUCGUCCAAGCCAGAGGAGAUGCCCACCCUGGGGCUCGGUCCCCCGAGGACAGACAUGGGGAGGCAGUGCUGGCAGCACAGAGCUGUAGUGAUGCCAGCGCACCUGCCAGGCCCCAGCACAGCCCCGGCUGCUGGCCUGGUCUACAGCUCAUGGGCAGGGACCUCCAAGCCCGGCCGCCACAGAGGGGUCCCCUCUCUCACGUGCUCACCCCCCAUCGCGCACCAUGCAGGACCUUGCAUGCAAGACUCAUGGGGCCACUGUGGCCCUCAGAGACACCCAUCUCCCAGGGGGGCACAUUGAGGCUCCGAGGCCUGAAGGGCCCGACUCGAAGGUCAGGGCUCUCAGGAGGGACGGGAUCCGGACGUCUGAGUCUCAGAGGAGCAGAUGCACUCACCUCCAUCCAGGGGCCUCCGGCACAGGAGCCAUGGCCUGCAGGAAGGACAGAAACGCCCAGGACACGGUCCUCCUGCACCUGGCAGCCCCACCUCCACCUGCCCAGGGUCUGCGCUACCUUGUCCAG